GGUAAACCAGAUUCACAUCAUCAUAUUUUUCUCAUAUUGACAGUUUCUUUGUAAAGUGAAUUUGCUUGUCUUCUUUUCCAAUCACCCUCGCUGCUUGUUUUUGCUUGUGGGAUUCCCCUGUUAAGGUAUUUGUUUUCCAAAGCUAAUAUUUAUUUAUGCUUCCAAUUCCUAAGGUUAAUUCCUUUGUUCCCAGUUUUUAAAUGUGUGCAGCGUGAAACCAAUGUUGAUGACCUCAUGGAAAACACUAGGAGAUUAUAUUUAUUUAUUUAUUUUUGCAAAACUGCAUAUGCCUACUUUGAUGUUGAUAUCAGAAAAUUUCAAACUAUAUUGCAAUUUUUGUUUGCACAUCCCAUUGCCAAUGAUGCAUUUAUUCCUAUCUGUAUCCCACAGCUCUGAACCCCAUGCCGAUAGCUGCCCGUUUCAUUUAUUUUGGCAUAUCCAUGGUUUGUUGCUUAAUUCUUAACACUAUUUUGCCUAGCUUAUUCACUUGUUUUGCCUAAUUUAUAAUAUAUAAUUAUUUUUGUAGUGCAUCGUUGGUUAUGACUCCAGCUCGCGCGCCCUCCGUGGAUCAGGCAUCAACGGUCGCAGUUCUGAGGACGCCACCUCCUCUGGUGCUCUGCAUCCAUCUUCCCCACUAAGGUGUGCGUGGUGAGCUGGGCGCUAGUCAUGGAUGGGGAUGUUGCUAUCGCUAGGGGCCGCACCGUGGGGUCUCGUCUUUGGUAUAUCGAGCACCAGCUCCGAUAGCUGCACGUUCCACAGGCUACAACAGCUCGGCAUGAUGUUGUGCGGCGCUUAGCUUCCCAUCACAGCCUCCCUCCCUGAGCAUCUCUAUCCUUUGCACUUCUCUCUUCGAGCACUUCAUACACCCGCUUCACCUUGACCAAAUUCCGUCCUUUGCAGCCCCCCUAUCGCACACCUUGGAAUGGUGCUUCUGCCUUUUACAGCCCCUAAGACUGCAGAUUUUAGGAUGCCAAGAUGCAGACUAUGUACAGUCGAACAGAGAAACAAGAUAUGUGCCAUGUAUAGAGAAGAAUGUGCAAACCUAUGUUUUUCCUAGGGACUAGAUGUACAUGUUGUGCUUUUUAAAAAAAAAACUGCGGAUGCAAAUUUGCUUUUGCUAAAUGCAUUGUCUUUUUUAUGAACAUAUACAUGCAGUACCUAAAAGCAUUUUUCUGAGACAGAUUUGCCUUUUGUUCCUAUAAUUCGUGCUCG